UACGGAGGGGGCAAGCGUUAUUCGGAAUUAUUGGGCGUAAAGGGCGCGUAGGCGGCUAGAUGUGUCAAAGGUGAAAUCCCUCGGCUCAACUGAGGAACUGCCUUUGAAACUGUCUGGCUUGAGGCCGGGAGAGGGUAGCGGAAUUCCCAGUGUAGCGGUGAAAUGCGUAGAUAUUGGGAGGAACACCGGUGGCGAAGGCGGCUACCUGGACCGGUUCUGACGCUGAGGCGCGAAAGCGUGGGUAGCAAACAGG
rnacentral:rRNA from 1 species